rnacentral:misc_RNA from 1 species
AACACACAUACUGCCCUUCCAAACAAUCAGCUCAAAGCUUCAUUUAACAUUAUGAAAUGUGAACAGAGCUUGUGGCUGAUUUAUUGUCACAAGAGACUUACUUAACCACAUAGAUAUCUCAAACUGUUAAGAUAGCACUUUUCAACCACUGCUACUUUAAACAAUAAACAAUUUGCAAUAGCUAUGAAACUCAAAAAUCACCUUACCUGCAAAACACAUGAUCCGGGUG